ACGGUGGAAAACCUGAAGACGGAGAAUGACCAGCUGAAGACGGUUGGCCCCUCCUCCAGACCUCCGAGCUCCACCUCCCAGUCCUCUGGGCUCGGUUCAUUGGGCGUCUCAUCACCACAGCAAUCGGUGUCAUCUUUCGGCAAGGGACAAACUGAGCCUUACCCAGAUGUCUUUCAAAGCCCCACCACAACUUUGCAGAAGGAUGAAAGUCUCGUCAGAGUGUUGGUUCGCAUACCCAAUCAGCACCUAUUUAAAGACGAGGUGAAACAGCUGGAGUUUUUCAUAGGCACGGUUAAAAUCAGCGGACGGACAGACUGGUUUGCUCUGGACUCUGCAGUUAUCCAGGCUUUUAAAGAGUAUUUAGCGGUGGUGGACCCCGGCUCCAGUCUCGGUCUCUCUCAGGACUCCAUCUACAGCUACAGC